CGUAACACGUGAGCAACCUGCCCCGAAGAUCGGGAUAGCCCGGGGAAACCCGGAUUAAUACCGAAUGCCCUCAUCUGGUCGCAUGGCCGGAUGAGGAAAUGCCUUUGUGCUUCGGGAUGGGCUCGCGGCCUAUCAGCUAGUUGGUGAGGUAACGGCUCACCAAGGCAACGACGGGUAGCUGGUCUGAGAGGACGAUCAGCCACACUGGGACUGAGACACGGCCCAG
rnacentral:rRNA from 1 species